CUAAGCAUAAGAGGACCUAAUUUCCUAGACCUAGAUGUGGGAGAGAUCUGGAUCUGCCGUUUUUCAUAGCCUUCCCCCCUCGAACGUCUUCUUCUUCGCCUUUCACACCCAAAACCAGAAAACCUUGAAUACCCCUAAUAGCUCCAGCCGCAUCUCUCCACCACUGAUCCGUCAGUCCUUCACCUCACCCCAAACAACACAUCUUCCUCAGCCAUCAGGCCCAUCUCCCCGCCCUUUCUGAGUAACUUCGCCAUUUCCAGCGGUAGAACUCCAUUUCGAAGCAUCAACGUCAAACAUCAGUUCUGGGCUACAGCAAAGGCAACCUAUAUUCAAACACUAAAUACCAGUUCUAGGCUGCAGGCAUUUUCAUAGUUAGUUUUGCCGUGAGGUUUGGGGUCUGCUCGAGGUUCACCGUCGAAGCUUCGUUCGCGGUCCGAGCUCCUGCUACUGUUGCUCCUUCCGGCCAGAUUUAGUUCGUCAGAGUUUGUUGUAACUGAGUUCUUGUUAAUAUAAUUGAGGCGUAGCUGGUCCCGCUCCCGAGUGCUGAUCAUUUCCAGCUUCAGGCGGUCCUAGGAGUCUUUAGGUAGCUAUUGGCGUUCAUAGCCCGGAGCUCCUCCCUAUCUUAUUUCUUUAUGUCUUUAGUCUAUGCAUUAAACUCUGUAGUUGACUUGGAGUAUUCCAGUUUUGUUUAGAUGCUCA